rnacentral:lncRNA from 1 species
AUCACCUAGAAGUGGGAGAGAUGCAGGAGGACCCAAGUUUGGAUCCUCUAGAACUGACAUAAAUGCCAAACGGCAGCACAUGUCUGUACUCUAGCCCUGACGUUCACUGGCCAAUCUGACUAGCCAAAGUAAUAAGCUCCAAGUUCAGUGCUAGACCCUGGCACAAAACAUAAGGUCAGGGCUGUUUCAUUUAGCUUCAUGAUAACCACCUUUGCUCUGGGAAGUAGAGUACAUCCUACCAGCCCUCCCCUGAAUUUUUUUUUUAACUCAAAGUGAUUUUGUUGCUUGUGUACACAAAAGAGACUGUGGACAACUCAUAUUUUCAAUUGGGUGGGUACCACCCGCUUAGUCUUAUAGUAUCCAGCCAACCAGUGAAUUCUGCUAUCAGAAUCAGGUGGAAUUGAGCAUCCUUAUUCUGUUUCUCUCAAGGAGCUUUCGGACUGCAACUGCUUUUUUUUAUCAAAUGGGAAAGAUCCUCAGGGGCAUCAGAGGCAAGGCCUUAAGGAUUCUCAAGGUUUUAUUUCUAGUCAUAAAACUGACCUGUGCCACACCAUGAGCCCCUCAGGAUCACACCUAUCUGGGAGAGAGUCAGGCCUUUGUUGGCCAAUUUGUAAAUCUGUUCCUUCAUGUCAUCAGAUGUCAAUUUCAGCCACAUGGCAUGCAACAGGGGGCUGGAGAGAUGACUUCAUGGUCUAAGAGUACUUUCUGCCCUUGUAGAGGACCCAAGUUCAACUCCUAGCACCCAUGAGGAAGGUGAUUAAAGAACCCGAACUUUGACCUUUUAAGUACACGCACACGUGCUAUGCAAACACAUACCCAUACUCCAUCCCCAACACCCAAAAUAAAAAUAAUCUAAGAGAUGCUGUGUGUUCAGUGGGACAUUUUCAGAGAAGACUAAGGUAAGAUCUACCCUGAUUGUGGAUGGCACCAUAGCAUAUACUCAGGGCUCAGAUAAUAAAAGGAUUUGGAAACAAAAAAGCCAGCUGAGCAUCAGCCUUCACCUUGCUUCCUGACCUUCCUUCCUGACCAGUGAAACAAACUGUUCUGGUCCUCCCGUGCCCCAUCACCAUCAUGACCUGUACCCCUCUGACCACUAUGACCUAACACGAAUCCUUCCUUCCUUCCUGAAGCGGCGUCCGUCAGGCAUUUUAGACAAUCUGGUGUGAAAGUAGCAAGGCAGAGGGCAUACAAACGGUAUAAUUGAAAUGCUGAAGUGCAUUUAUCUUGUGGUAUUUGUUUGCUGACCCCAACAUGGCAGAGAGAUCGAGUCUUUUCUGGUAGUCAGUUUCCAUCAAGGUCCAUCUAUGAACUCCCUUGUAAAAAUUCAGUUUUGAAAAGAACCCUGCUAAGUCAUUGACAUUUUCAAGGCUGGCUACGCCCAUGCCUGGAUCAUUCUACCUCAGGGGCAUGCCCAUCUCCAGUAUUGUCAUCACCUGGGAAGUUAAUCACAACUGCUUAAUGUAUUUAUUCAUUUAUUUUUUUGUCAUUCCUGGGUAGCAUGGGGUUUCUCAGGCCAAUUGGGAAUAAUGUCAGCCUACAGCCCACCUGUGUAUGGCCCUUUCUAGAACUACAUAGCAGGAUUGUGGUCUUCACUGGCAAUGUGGACAGGCACUACUGAAACUAGCACUUCAACCUUCUUCCAGUCAGCCUAAUAUGUAAAACCUGCAAGUUUCUAGAACAGUGGUUCUCAGCGCUGUGACUCCUUUGACAAACCUCUAUUUCCAAAAAAAAAAAAAAAAAAA